AAUAGAUACCCGGGUAGUCCACGCCGUAAACGAUGCACACUGGGUGCUGGAGGGUCUGACCCCGUCAGCGCCGACGUAAAAACAUUAAGUGUGCCGCCUGGGGAGUACGGCCGCAAGGCUAAAACUCAAAGGAAUUGACGGGGGCUCACACAAGCGGUGGAGCAUGUGGCUUAAUUCGAAGCAACGCGAAGAACCUUACCCGGGUUUGACAUGCAUGGAUGGGCUUUGGGGAUAACUCGAAGUUCCUGCUCUUCGGAGUGAAACAUGCACAGGUGUUGCAUGGCUGUCGUCAGCUCGUGCUGUGAAGUGUCAGGUUAAGUCCUUCAACGAGCGAAACCCCUAUUGCUAGUUGCCAGCGGGUCAUGCCGGGGACUCUAGCGAGACUGCCGGCGUAAGCCGGAGGAAGGUGGGGACGACGUCAAGUCAUCAUGGCCUUUAUGUCCGGGGAUGCACACGUGCUACAAUGGCGCGCACAGAGCGAUGCGAAACCGCGAGGUCAAGCAAAUCGCAAAAAACCGCGCCCCU
rnacentral:rRNA from 1 species